GCAUAGAGUAUGCAGAUGAUGCCGUGCACAUAGGAUGUGCAGGGAGUGUGUCCUGUCGAACUGGUGAACUCCAAUAACUGGGCUAUGCCAAUUAGCCGAACUCUGCUAAAGAACUGAACACAUAACACGCCCAACUGAGAACAUUCCGAGUUGAUGCUGAGAAGAACUGGAAGGAGUCUUCAAAGGUUUCAAAGCUCCUGGAAUGCUUGGACAGUGUUCAGAGAAUUGUGUACAGCCGGUGGACUUCGUUUCUGGACGUCCUAG
rnacentral:misc_RNA from 1 species